rnacentral:lncRNA from 1 species
CACUUUUCAACUUUUGAUUUUACCUGACCUCUCCUUAGGACGUGAAUUGCCACACACUCUACUUUCUCUCCCCAUGCCACAUCCUUCUUCCAUUUCCCUAAGGCCUAUAUUUGUGGACUCUUUAAUUCCCAUCUGAGAUCAUACUGAUGAUGAUCUCUGCCUGUCACCUCUGUAACUUAAACGACACAUAUUAUGUCACACUGUGAUGAUUUGUUGACACUAUUGAGAGACUGGCCCCAAGCCACCAGUGUGAAUACCUUGGGACAUAAAUGGGAAACUCAGUCCUUGAUGAUCCUUAUUUUAACUUGUUCCCUCUGAACAAGGAACAGAACAGCAAAUGCUUCUAGAAAAACCUGAAGGGAUUCCCAGCACCAGAAAGGAAGGGGGAAAAAUAAAUGUCCUACUUAGUAGCUCAUUUUCCACAUUGAAAAGGAAAAAAAAAAAAAAACCUACAUGGGAAGUAGAGAGCCUUUGGACAUUGGUCUCCUGGGGCUCAGUGGAGUCGGAUGUCGGUUGCCAAGCAACAAGAACAAGGAUCAAGGACUUUGAGUUCUCGGCAAGGUGGGAAGCAUAUUUGGAUGGAUUCUCAACAGGAUGUCUGGAAUUUGUAGGGAGGCUCAACCUUGGUUAGCUCCUCAGCGUUCAUGAGGUCCUUCAGCACGCCUAGUCCUUUUAGAUGCUUGAUUCUUGUUCUCAGCAUUACAUCUUAUUCAUUUAUUUUGCCAUGCACGCUCCUUUUUUCUCCCUAGUUAACUUGAAAAACUUUUGAGGGAUAGAAAGGAAGCCUAAAUAUUAUGGUCUCACCUCCCAGCAUCUCGUGUGAAUUAUCUUCUAUAAAACUAUAUUGGGUGAUUAUUCGACCUACCAUCCUAGUUGGUUGUCAGAGAUCCUUCUUUUAUUUUUCUUAGUGGACACAAGUUUAGUGACACUUGUAGAGGCGAACUUUGCCUGUCAACUUUUAACUUCCAUUGAUUUUUCCAUGGAGUGUGCCAAAACCUUAAAUUGAUUCCAGUUGCUCUAAAAAGAUGUAUAUUUUUCUUCUACACGUUUUAAGGAAAAAAAACAUUUGAGUGUGUUUUCCCUAGACUAAACCACAAUCAGAUAGUUUUUCCAGGAAUGUAUGAAUGAACAGCAAAGUGGUUACUUUGGAAGCAGACAUGCUGUUAUAUAGGAUUUCAGGAGAACUCAAGUAAUUCCAUAUUUCACAUGACUCCAGGU